rnacentral:misc_RNA from 1 species
GAAACUCACCCACAUAAAUCUCCAUAUUACGUCGGAACUAAAAACCGCCACGAGUCCUAGCUAGAGCCUCACUUUCAGAUCUUCGCCGUUGAUAGUGAUUAUUCGAAAGACCCUAACCCCCUAUUGGCUGAUUCGAACGAUCCGCCUCCGUCAACGGUUGAAACAUUUCUCCUAUUCUUCUCCAAUUUCAGAAAGCUGAUUCCCUUUUUCCAAAAUUCUCCAUUUCCAUCUCUUUCUCAUUUGCACUCUGUAAUAUUCUGUGUCGAAAGGUUGCUUUUGGAAUCGAAUCCUUUUCUUGCGCAAAUUGAAUGUUCGCUGUAACUUUUUCAAAUUCUGCGUAAUUCUAAUUAAGUAGACUUUGCAUAAUUCUCCAACCUUUUCUUCUCUUUCUAUUUAAAGGCCAAAAGGCGCAAUAACGCAUUCACUCUGCGAUCAUUACCUUCUUAGCUUUGGUAAUUCCCCUUUUUUUUUUCUGGUUGUUAUCGCUAAUUUUCCUUUAUUUCAUUUUCAAGUUCUGCUGCAUUAGUAUUCGUAUUGGCUAUGAUUAUGAUUGUGUCUGCGAAGUGUGGUUGCAUUGGUCUCAGUUUGAAUGCUUAUUACUUCGUUGUUAUUGAACUUUUCUGUUGUGGAUUUUCAAAAUAUUGGGUGAUUGAUUUGAAGCGUGUUCUUUCUUUUCUGAACUCUCAUUUAUUUGAGAAUUGAAAGGAGCUUUUUGUUGCUUCUUUGUAUUGUUAAGAAAGUAAUAACUCACAAUUAAGGAACACAAAAUUGUUAGAUAAAUCCUCCUUUUUAUUUUUUAAUUAUUACUACUUCACUGGUAAACUUUGGCCCACUUCAUAAGACUUCAAUUCUUAACGACUAAGAAUUCUUUAAUGCUAAGAAUUCAAGGCACGACUAACAUAUAUAUCUGCCAUUGAAGAUCAUUGCAUUGACAGCAAACUGGGGACGCAGGGUAUUUCUUUGGUGUCCAAAGUCCAACCUAUUACGAUCAAGCGUCAAAUUUUGGACCGCCACCAUUGACGAGACAUGGCAUGCGUAUUGCUUCAACCCUUCCAUUUUUCCUUCAGCCUUCUGAAGAAUCACUGAUUAUAGGACCGUUGUUUUAGUUUGCUUUUAUAUAGCAAUUUCUUUUUAUUUUUCACGUAUUUUAAACCAUUUGCCACAUGUUUUCUUCUGAAAUCUAGCGAGUUUAUCUGUUAGCUGCAUUUCUCUUACUAAUUUUCUGCCUUUUUUGUGUACUUUCUAAAAAAUUCAGGUAUUUGAUGAAAAUAACCAGCAGACUGAUAUUGGCGCAGCUGUGCGCAAUGGGAGAGAAAUACUUUUGCAGGCUUUUAACUGGGAAUCUCACAAGUAUGAUUGGUGGAGAAAUUUGGAAAGGAAAGUUCCUGAUAUUGCAAAAUCUGGGUUUACUUCAGCAUGGUUGCCGCCGCCUACUCAGUCCAUUGCACCUGAAGGUUACCUUCCACAGAACCUUUAUUCUAUAAACUCUUCAUAUGGUUCUGAGCACCUGUUGAAGGCUUUACUUCAAAAAAUGAUACAGUAUAAAGUCAGAGCAAUGGCUGACAUUGUUAUCAAUCACCGUGCUGGGACUACACGAGGACAUGGAGGAAUGUAUAACCGUUAUGAUGGGAUUCCAUUAUCAUGGGACGAACGUGCUGUUACAUCUUGUUCUGGAGGACUGGGUAAUCGCAGCACAGGGGACAACUUCCACAUGGUUCCAAACAUUGAUCAUACCCAACAGUUUGUUCGAACAGAUAUUACAGCAUGGCUGCAGUGGCUUCGUAAUAAUGUUGGCUUCCAAGAUUUCCGUUUUGACUUUGCGAGAGGUUACUCACCCAAAUAUGUGAAAGAAUACAUUGAAGGGGCGAAACCAAUAUUUUCUGUUGGGGAGUACUGGGAUUCUUGUAACUACAGUGGCUUUUAUUUGGAAUACAACCAAGAUAGCCACAGACAACGGAUUAUCAAUUGGAUUGAUGGCACAGGGCAGCUCUCAACUGCAUUUGACUUCACUACAAAGGGAAUUCUUCAGGAAGCUGUUAAGGGACAAUUCUGGCGUCUGCGUGACUCUCAGGGGAAGCCACCAGGUGUAGUUGGAUGGUGGCCUUCAAGGGCUGUGACAUUCAUCGAUAACCAUGAUACAGGCUCAACGCAGGGCCAUUGGCCUUUCCCUUCAAAUCAUAUUAUGGAGGGUUAUGCAUACAUACUUACACAUCCAGGAAUUCCAACAGUUUUCUAUGACCAUGUUUAUGACUUGGGUGACUCCAUUCAUGACCAAAUUGUGAAACUGAUUGACAUUAGAAAACGCCAAGACAUCCAUAGUCGAUCAUCUAUCAGGAUUCUUGAAGCCCAGCCAAACCUCUAUUCCGCAAUUAUUGGGGAGAAAGUAUGCAUGAAAAUUGGGGAUGGUUCCUGGUGCCCAGCUGGCAGGGAAUGGACACUGGCAACCUCCGGCCAUCGAUAUGCUGUGUGGCAAAAUGAUGCCCCUUCAUAAUUAGUCACCAGUCAGUUUUGGUAAUCUAUUUCUGUGGACUUCUGUUUGGUAGAGGUCAUGUCUUGCAGCUGGUAUUACAAUAGUAACUAUUUUAUGAAUAAUUUUGCUAUUGUAUGAAUAAUUUGGGAUUAUCCAAGUUAUAUUAGAACUCCACGAAUCUUUGCUGCCGAUUUUUUUUUUAUUAGGAAAUAAAUGUUUUUUAAACUUUCCAUUUUGAAGUUUCCAGUGGUCCCACUUGGACUUUUCAUGUUCGCACCCGCGGGGGGUGGGGGAGCAGUGGAUAGCCGAUGGGAGAUAUGAUUCUCGAAGAUUACAAGUGACAAGAUCUCUAGAGGCUUCAGGCUAGUAAGCCUAUUGCCAUGACGGGCACAUUAGGCUUUGGUCAGUUCAAGUGGAGAAUUAUAGGAUAUUUCUGGAGUAUAAAGAAGAGUACUUCUUUCAUAGAAUGUGUGUGCUAUUUAUAAUAUAAAAAGUGAACCUCAAUAACUGAAUAUUUAUAUUUAGUUUAUUAAUCAUUAUUCAGUCUAAUUAAUCUUAAUAUAGAAAAUCAUAACACCAAUUCUUCUGUAAUACAAAAUCA